CAGCACUUCAAGUGGUCAGGAUGAUUAUUGGGCCUAAAGCAUCCGUAGCCGGCGCUGUAAGUUUUCGGUUAAAUCUGUACGCUCAACGUACAGGCUGCCGGGAAUACUGCAGCGCUAGGGAGUGGGAGAGGUAGACGGUACUCGGUAGGAAGGGGUAAAAUCCUUUGAUCUAUUGAUGACCACCUGUGGCGAAGGCGGUCUACCAGAACACGUCCGACGGUGAGGGAUGAAAGCUGGGGGAGCAAACCGGAUUAGAUACCCGAGUAGUCC
rnacentral:rRNA from 1 species